CAGCAGCCACGGUAAUACGGAGGGGGCUAGCGUUGUUCGGAAUUACUGGGCGUAAAGCGCACGUAGGCGGCUUGGUAAGUUAGAGGUGAAAGCCUGGAGCUCAACUCCAGAAUUGCCUUUAAGACUGCCGAGCUAGCAGGUGAGAGAGGUAAGUGGAAUUCCGAGUGUAGAGGUGAAAUUCGUAGAUAUUCGGAAGAACACCAGUGGCGAAGGCGGCUUACUGGCUCAUACUGGACGCUGAGGUGCGAAAGCGUGGGGAGCAAACAGGAUUAGAGACCCCCGUAGUCCCUGUCUCUUAUAC
rnacentral:rRNA from 1 species